GACGAACGCUGGCGGCGUGCUUAACACAUGCAAGUCGAACGGAAAGGCCCUGCUUGCAGGGUCCUCGAGUGGCGAACGGGUGAGUAACACGUGGGUGAUCUGCCCUGCACUUCGGGAUAAGCCUGGAGAACUGGGUCUAAUACCGGAUAGGAGCCAUCUUUAGUGGGGGGGUGGGAAAGUUUUUUCGGUGUAGGAUGAGCUCGCGGCCUAUCAGCUGGUUGGUGGGGUAAUGGCCUACCAAGGCUGCGACGGGGAGCCGGCCUGCGAGGGUGUACGGCCACACCGGGACCGAGCGACGGCCCAGAGUCCUACGGGUGGCAGCAGUGGGGAAUAUUGCACAAUGCGCGCAAGCCUGAUGCAGCGACGCCGCGUGGGGGAAGAAGGCCUUUGGGUUGUAAACACCUUUCGCUAGUGAUGAAGCGUUGUUGUGACGGUACCUAGAGAAGAAGCACCGGCUAACUACGUG
rnacentral:rRNA from 1 species